rnacentral:lncRNA from 1 species
GUUCCAGUGACCCCCAGGAAGACAAGAGAAAUCCCUUGCCCUGCCCCAUAUCCCCUCCUACUGCCACCCCCUCCGCCUACAGCCCAGGUGCAGCUCUGAUCUUACUUCCCCUUGGGAAUCACACAGAGAGGUCACUACUCUACACAAAUGCACACCUGGUCACAGGGGCCCUGACAAAGCAUGAGCUGCAUCGGCUCCGCCUCAGGACAGUCCCCCUCACCCCCCCAGACUGGACUGGGCUCUGAUCAAACGCCCUGCACGGGGGGGGGGGCGCGAGUGAGCGGGAGUGUGCCCCUGACGCCUCAAGACUGAGCAGACCGUCUUUUGUUUGGGCACAGAUUCGGGGAUGCCGCCCAUGAGUCAGGGGAGAGGGUGCAGCCGGAGCUCACUGAGGCAGUGACCAGUGAUGGCCCAGCCUGCGAUGACGGAGGGGCUGGAGCUGGUGCAGGUGCGAGAGCCACAGGUUGGAGCCGGGGCACCUGGGGUCCAUUUCGAGCCGAGGCGGGGACGGAGGUCCAAAACAGCGACGCGGGGAGACACUGGUGCUGCUGGAGGUGCGGUCACUAAAGCUACUUUCAGUAUCUUCACUCAUUACAACAUUUGGGUUCUUUGGGGGUCCGUUUCCAUUGAUUUUUUUUUUCUCUUGGUCAUAUUUUCCUGUUUCCUUUGUAUGCGGAGUAAUUUGGAUUGUGUUCUGGUUAUUGUAAAUGAUCCAUUCCAUGGAGUCUGGAUUCUGUUUCUGUUCCAGAGAGGAUUGAUUGUCUGUUUUGGUGGACAGUUAACUCGGCUGAAGUCCUGUGAAGUC